GCCAAGCCUCGUCAAUGGCUGGGCGAGCUCGGGCUCGCCGGAUCUGGGCGAGCCCGAGCUUGCCCAGCCAAGACGAGGCCGAGC
rnacentral:pre_miRNA from 1 species